rnacentral:rRNA from 1 species
UACGUAGGGUGCGAGCGUUAAUCGGAAUUACUGGGCGUAAAGCGUGCGCAGGCGGUUAUGUAAGACAGAUGUGAAAUCCCCGGGCUCAACCUGGGAACUGCAUUUGUGACUGCACGGCUAGAGUGUGUCAGAGGGGGGUAGAAUUCCACGUGUAGCAGUGAAAUGCGUAGAUAUGUGGAGGAAUACCGAUGGCGAAGGCAGCCCCCUGGGAUAACACUGACGCUCAUGCACGAAAGCGUGGGGAGCAAACAGG